GGCCAAAAAUUAAGCACCCAAUGCUAUAAAGAUUGCCAAUAUGGAUCAAACUUUUGCGAGCUAUGCAAUCAUCUGGUGUGAUGUCUUAGAGAUGCAAGGCGUGAGAGAAAAAAUGCUUCGUCUGAUAUGGAAUGAGUGGCCUAUCAAUCAGAGACCUGGAGCAGGAUGAUCGGUGCUAACUUCGUUGCCAGAUGGCUCGGACUGGCACGCUGGCAACUUGAUCAACAUGUUUGCUUGCACCUAAUGUUGACAGAAGGAGGCACAGUGCGAACUUUAUGGGGUGGACAGAAAGUGAGGGUGUUGGCGCACCCGUUCAUGUGUUAAAAAAGAAUGUUAGGAUUUGAUCUUGAGAAUUCCAUUUGGUUCAGCAAACCUAAUUAGUAUUGAUUAAAUCUGCACCAUACUAGCAUGUACCCAAUUUCCUCAAAAGCUGUAUUCUCCAUCAGGUUUAACCUUGGGAGGAAGUUGCCAGACUGAAGAAAUAGUGUUGCGCUACCCCCAUCCUGAAUGCAACUCUUGUAAUGCUGGAUUUAUGUAGUGCUGAGUAUCGUGUGUCACUGGAAGUUGGUGGCAAAGUGUCGAGCUAGCAUUUUUAAUUAAAAUUUUUUUCCUACUAUUUUUGUCUGAAAAAAAAAAAAAUGUUACCCUAGUAGCCUGGUAUGUUGGCCGAUAUUGUCUCUUAUUAUG